rnacentral:rRNA from 1 species
GCAAGUCGAGCGAGAAGGUUGAUUAUGAAGCUUCGGUGGAUUGAUUAACUGGAAAGCGGCGGACGGGUGAGUAACGCGUGGGUAACCUACCCUGUACAGAGGAAUAGCCAUUGGAAACGAUGAUUAAUGCCUCAUAAGACUACGACGUCACCUGGCGAUGUAGUAAAAACUCCGGUGGUACAGGAUGGACCCGCGUUAGAUUAGCUAGUUGGUAAGGUAAUGGCUUACCAAGGCGACGAUGAAUAGCCGGCCUGAGAGGGUGACC